GGGAACCAUCGGAUCUCCCUCUGAAUUUCUAGAACUCCGUGUUCCUGCUUGUUCCAACAAUAACAAAGGAAAAGGCCUUUCUUUGGUGGCAUUUUGGCUUUCUGCUGCAGUGAAUCAUGGAGAGUGAGAAGCCUUUCCCAAGAUGACUCCAAACGUGGAGAGGACAGCAGAGAGCCUGCCACGGGGGGCUGUACUGGAGAGGAAGACAGCUGCCAGUUCAUUGCCUGCUGGAGCCUCUGGAGGGACUUGGGGAGCCCAGGAAGAUUCCUACUGUGAGUUGUCCAUCUCAGGGAUGAUAUCUCUGAGAAAAUGGCCAUCCCACAAAGACCUUGGCCCAAACUGUGACCUGCAAAGCAGCCUCCUGACUCCUCUUCUGGACAACCAGAUAAGCAUCCACAGCCUGCAGCACAUCAUUCCCCAGAAUUAUUGAGUUCUACACUGUCUUUUUAGUGAAAAAUCUUCAGGAAUUGCUGACUGGCUAUGAAAAGGAAAGUGUCACAACAUGAGCAGCCCUACCCACAUUAUCUGAGCUGAGCUUCAUUCUCUGCCUAGCCACUGGAAACCUUGGGGUUAGCAGGGCAAAGACUGAAGUCACUCUGUGUGUGUCAGCUGCCACCUUGACCGGUGCCAUCGCCAGAAAGUGGACUUCAAAGGCUGCAAGGAUGAGUCAGUGCAGCCUGAUGUGCCAUGCCACAUGCUGCGGCUGAGAGCUGUGACAAACCCACGUCCUCUGAGCAUUAGGUACAAAGCGAGCCGGCCGACAGGUUAUACAUGCAUGCAUCAAAGGGAAUAAAUAUGGUAACAAAUCUCCGGCCA
rnacentral:lncRNA from 1 species